rnacentral:rRNA from 1 species
GACGAACGCUGGCGGCGUGCCUAAUACAUGCAAGUUGAGCGAUGAAGAUUGGUGCUUGCACCAAUUUGAAGAGCAGCGAACGGGUGAGUAACGCGUGGGGAAUCUGCCUUUGAGCGGGGGACAACAUUUGGAAACGAAUGCUAAUACCGCAUAACAACUUUAAACAUAAGUUUUAAGUUUGAAAGAUGCAAUUGCAUCACUCAAAGAUGAUCCCGCGUUGUAUUAGCUAGUUGGUGAGGUAAAGGCUCACCAAGGCGAUGAUACAUAGCCGACCUGAGAGGGUGAUCGGCCACAUUGGGACUGAGACACGGCCCAAACUCCUACGGGAGGCAGCAGCAGGGAAUCUUCGGCAAUGGACGAAAGUCUGACCGAGCAACGCCGCGGGAGUGAAGAAGGUUUUCGGAUCGUAAAACUCUGUUGGUAGAGAAGAACGUUGGUGAGAGUGGAAAGCUCAUCAAGUGACGGUAACUACCCAGAAAGGGACGGCUAACUACGUG